rnacentral:lncRNA from 1 species
CUGGGAUUGAACCCAGGGUGCUUUACCACUGAGCCAUGUCCCCAGCCCUUUUAUAUUUUAUUUUGGGACAGGGUCUUGAUAAUUUUCUUAGGGCCUCGCUAAAUUGCUUAGGCUGGCUUUGAACUCACACACACAAAAAAACCUUCUGCCUCAGCCUUCCAAGUUGCUGGGAUUAUAAAUGUGCAACUCCAUGCUGGGUUAGAAACUUUUAUAACACUUUGGUCUUGUGACAGCCACACAUGUGAUCAGUGGCCUAUUCUUCAACAGGGUAUGGGCCAGCUCAGGCAUGGCCAGCUGUGAGCCAUACUGUACAAAGACUGGAUACUAGGCCAUGCAAGCAGUCUACCACUAAGCCACAACACCAGCUCCUCAAAAAAAGGAUUUUCGCAAAAGAAAACAUUUUUUUUUUUUAGGUGUAGAUGGACACAACACAAUGCCUUUAUUUUUAUAUGGUGCUGAGGAUCGAACCUGGGUCCCGCCUGUGCUAGGGGAGCACUCUACUGCUGAGCUACAAUCCCAGUCCCGCAAAAGAAAACUUAGUGUUUAGACUUGUUUUAUAAGGACUUAUAUUUAAUAUUUUUAUUUUCUUUUUAAUUUAUUUCUGAUUUUUUUUUUAGAUGGGGGUGGUCUCACUAUCUUGUCCAGGCUGGCGUUGAACUCAGGACCCUCCAGCCUUAGCCUCCCCCAAAACUGGGAUUACUAAUAUGUACUAUCACACCCAGUUUAUUUCUGAUGUUUUGUUGUUGUUGUUGGAGGGUACUGGGGAUUGAACUCAAGGGCACUUGGCCACUGAACCACAUCCCCAGCCCUAUUUUGUAUUUUAUUUAGAGACAGGGUCUCACAGAGUUACUUAGCACCUCACUUUUGCUGAGGCUGGCUUUGAACUCGGGAUACUCCUGUCUCAGCCUCCCGAGCUGCUGGGAUUACAGGCAUGUGCCAACAUGCCCGGCAAUUUCUAAUGUUUUAAUAUACUUUUCUGGGCUGGGGUUGUGGCUCAGCAGUAAAGCACUUGCUUAGCACAUGUGACGCCCUGGGUUCGAUCCCCAAUACCACAUAUAAAUAAAUAAAAUAAACGUAUUGAAAAAUACUACUUUUCUACCUCACAGUUCAACUUCUGUCUGCCUUUUCUGGGAGAGCCUUGAUUCUCUUCAGUGAUCCUGUAACCUAUUCAUAUCAUUGGGUAAAGUUUCAUUGUAAGACAUUGAUUUUCAAUUGAGAGUGAUUUUGCCCCACAGAGGACAUUUGGCAAUGUCUGGAGUUGUUUUCAGUUGUUAGGACAUGGGGCAGGGUGCUGCUGGCAUCUAAUAGAUAAAGACUAGGAAUGCUAAUAAACAUUCUACAAUGUGUAGGACAGUGGCCUCACAGCAAAGAAUCAUAUAGUUCAAGACAUCAGUAGUCAAGGUUGAAAAACUGUGGGUAUUUGACAGCUUGCUGUUGCUGUGAUACAAUGCCUGAGAAAAAACUUAAAAGGAGGAAAGAUUUAUCUUGGCUCACAUUUGGAGAUUUUAGUUCAUGGUCACUUGGCUCCGUUGUUUCUGGGCCUGGGUUGAGGCAGAACGUCAUGGUGGGGAGGGUGUAGUGAAGCAAAACUGUUCACCUCAGGGCUGCCAGGAAGCAAAGAGAAGAGGAAGGUACAGGGGAC